GGCAAAAAUCCCUAAUCGAUAAUAUUUAUACGGACUAUACCCACAAAAUUUCUCUUAGGCAAAGAAACAUCCCUAAUAGAUAACUAUCUUCCCAAAUUUUUUCUUCCUAAUUCUUUGAUCCUUCUCGCAUUUUGUGGUCCCUUUGCAAGAGUAGCGUUCCUCCCAAACUUUAAUUUCCAGGCUUUGUCCUCUUCCUCUACAACUAUGCUCUCCGACGCACUCUUCAAUUUGCUCGUUUUUAGCUGAAAUGAAAAAGAUACAAUCAACACAACAAAGUGAAGAUGUCGGUCAAUCAGUUGAUGCAUUUGCAUCAGUCAUAGGACCCGAGCAUCCACGCCGCGUAAAUUAUAUGCAUGUGGGGUUUCCAAGACCGACUUACAAAAGUGGGAGAUAUUGGACUCUCUUUAAGUUCCUACUGAUGAGAUGAUGUAGCAAAAAAUUGAAGAAAUAGAAUGUAGGAUUCAUUAAAGAAUGCAGGAAAAGCUCAAUGCACAAAAGGAUGCUAUGGAAAGAGAAUUACAAUUAACGUCGUCGCACAACUUCAGCGUCUGAACCCAGGAUUACGGAUUGAUCCUAACAUGUUCGCUUUUAGUGCUCGUUCACCUGGAUAAACUUACUCUGCAGAACAAGCUGUUAUUCAACUAAUCAAUCUUCUAUCUACCGGUAGUAACGAUCUGGUGGAGAAAUGAUGAAAAGAAAGUCGAAAGCGAUGAAGUUCUAGACUUUACUUAAGAAGGUUUUUAAAUUAUUGCUGAAACUCUAGAUGUUCUAGGAAUCUUUUGUUAGCAAACAUUUUGGAAACUUUUGUAAAAUCUAUGCAGCUUGGGUUAGAGGCGUAUUUUGGUUUUAUGGAUAUUCUAUAUAGCUUGUUGGACAAUUAAUUUGGAUUGUGAAUGGUAAUGAAUAGUUUCAUUUUGAGAA